rnacentral:rRNA from 1 species
CCUAAGACAUGCAAGUCGUACGAGAAGGCCCACUGAUAUUGAUCGAAGUUGGAGUGCUUGCACAAAGAUGGACUUUAGUGGAUGUGGAUUUCCUUCUAGUGGCAAACGGGUGAGUAACACGUGGGUUACCUACCUCUUAGACGGGGAUACCAAUUGGAAACGAUUGUUAAUACCGGAUAUGCUCUACGGAGUAAAGAUGCCCUUAAAGCAUCGCUAAGAGAUGGGCCUGCGGCGCAUUAGCUAGUUGGUGGGGUAAUGGCCCACCAAGGCGACGAUGCGUAGCCGAACUGAGAGGUUGAUCGGCCACAUUGGGACUGAGACACGGCCCAGACUCCUACGGGAGACAGCAGUUAGGAAUAUUCGUCAAUGGGGGGCAACCCUGAACGAGCAAUGCCGCGUGAGUGAUGAACCGGUCCUCUGGAUUGUAAAACUCUGUUGUUUAGGAAAAAUUGUAUCUAUAGGAAAUGAUAGGUAUUUGAUGGUACUAUUCAAGAAAGCCACGGCUAACUACGUGCCAGCAGCAGC